rnacentral:sRNA from 1 species
ACGUACUACUCGCACGCUCCGGUUCCUGCGCUCCAUCCUCACCCGACCUGCCGUCGCUCGCUACGCCUGGACAGCA